AUAGUCGUGGCCGAGUGGUUAUGGCGAUGGACUAGGUAUACUUUGGGUUUUUCCCGCGUAGGUUCGAAUCCUACAGACUACG